rnacentral:rRNA from 1 species
AAGCGCAUCUGGUGGAUGCCUUGGCGACAACAGGCGAUGAAGGACGUAGUAGUCUGCGAUAAGCCGCGGCGAGCUGACAAACGAGCUUUGACCCGCGGAUUUCCGAAUGGGGCAACCCACCGCUUUUGCGGUAUCCGUAACUGAAUACAUAGGUUGCGGAGGCGAACUCAGGGAACUGAAACAUCUAAGUACCUGAAGGAAAAGAAAUCAACCGAGAUUCCGCAAGUAGUGGCGAGCGAACGCGGAGCAGCCCUUAAGCUUUUUAUGUUUUAGCAGAGCGGUCUGGAAAGGCCGGCCAUAGUGGGUGAUAGCCCCGUAUGCGAAAGGACAUAGAGAGUGAAAUCGAGUAAGGCGAGGCACGUGAAACCUUGUCUGAACAUGGGGGGACCAUCCUCCAAGGCUAAAUACUCGUUGUCGACCGAUAGUGAACCAGUACCGUGAGGGAAAGGCGAAAAGAACCCCGGAGAGGGGAGUGAAAUAGAACCUGAAACCGGAUGCGUACAAGUAGUCGGAGCCCUUCGGGGUGACGGCGUACCUUUUGUAUAAUGGGUCAGCGACUUACUUCUCAGUAGCGAGGCUAACCGUAUAGGGGAGCCGUAGGGAAACCGAGUCUUAAUAGGGCGAAUAGUUGCUGGGAGUAGACCCGAAACCCGUCGAUCUAUCCAUGGCCAGGGUGAAGUUGUGGUAACACACAAUGGAGGCCCGAACUCACGUCUGUUGAAAAAGACGGAGAUGAGCUGUGGAUAGGAGUGAAAGGCUAAUCAAGGCGGGUGAUAGCUGGUUCUCCUCGAAAGCUAUUUAGGUAGCGCCUCACGUCUCACUGCAGGGGGUAGAGCACUGUCACGGUUUGGGGGGUCCACAAGGAUCUACCCGGCUGUUGCAAACUCCGAAUACCUGCAAGUGCAAUCGUGGGAGACACACGGUGGGAGCUAAAUUUCAUCGUGAAAAGGGAAACAGCCCUGACCGCCAGCUAAGGUCCCCAAAUUACCGCUAAGUGGUGAACGAUGUGGGAAGGCAGAGACAGCCAGGAAGUUGGCUUAGAAGCAGCCAUCUUUUAAAGAAAGCGUAAUAGCUCACUGGUCGAGUCGGCCCGCGCGGAAGAUGUAACGGGGCUCAAGCGGUGUACCGAAGCUGCGGAUGCACACUUAGGUGUGCGUGGUAGAGGAGCGUUCUGUAAGCCUGUGAAGGUGGAUCGUAAGGUCUGCUGGAGGUAUCAGAAGUGCGAAUGCUGACAUGAGUAACGACAAUACGGGUGAAAAACCCGUUCGCCGUAAGCCCAAGGGUUCCAGCGCAACGGUAAUCGGCGCUGGGUGAGUCGGAUCCUAAGGCGAGGCCGAGAGGCGUAGUCGAUGGAAAACUGGUUAAUAUUCCAGUACUUGCUGAUGCUGCGAUGGGGUGACGGAGAAGGUUAGGGUAGCUGCCUGUUGGAUGGUAGUUUAAGCCCGUAGGAAGGUUCCUUAGGCAAAUCCGGGGAAUCAAUUCUGAAAGGUGAUGACGAGCCGCAAUUGCGGCGAAGUACUUGAUACCCCGCUUCCAAGAAAAACCUCUAAGCUUCAGGCAUCAGGAAUCCGUACCCGAAACCGACACAGGUGGGCGAGGAGAGUAUCCUAAGGCGUUUGAGACAACUCGGAUGAAGGAACUCGGCAAAAUAGUGCCGUAACUUCGGGAGAAGGCACGCCUGCGCAAGCAGGCCGCAGUGAAGAGGGGGUGGCAACUGUUUAUCAAAAACACAGGACUCUGCAAACACGAAAGUGGACGUAUAGGGUCUGACACCUGCCCGGUGCUGGAAGGUUAAGUGAUGGGGUCAGGCGCAAGCCAAAGCUCUUGAUCGAAGCCCCAGUAAACGGCGGCCGUAACUAUAACGGUCCUAAGGUAGCGAAAUUCCUUGUCGGGUAAGUUCCGACCUGCACGAAUGGUGUAAUGAUCGCCCCACUGUCUCCAUCCGAGGCUCAGUGAAAUUAAAAUCGCUGUGACGAUGCAGUGUUCCCGCGGCAAGACGGAAAGACCCCGUGAACCUUUACUAUAACUUUACACUGGAUUUUGAGUUUAUUUGUGUAGGAUAGGUGGGAGGCAUUGAAACCAGGGCGCUAGCUUUGGUGGAGCCAACCUUGAAAUACCACCCUGAUAAACUUGAAAUUCUAACCUCGUCCCGUUAUCCGGGACAGGGACAUUGUAUGGUGGGUAGUUUGACUGGGGCGGUCUCCUCCCAAAGAGUAACGGAGGAGUGCGAAGGUUAGCUCAGCGCGGUCGGAAAUCGCGCUUUUGAGUGCAUAGGCAUAAGCUAGCUUGACUGCGAGACAAACAAGUCGAGCAGGUACGAAAGUAGGUCUAAGUGAUCCGGUGGUUCUGUAUGGAAGGGCCAUCGCUCAACGGAUAAAAGGUACUCCGGGGAUAACAGGCUGAUACUGCCCAAGAGUCCAUAUCGACGGCAGUGUUUGGCACCUCGAUGUCGGCUCAUCACAUCCUGGGGCUGUAGUCGGUCCCAAGGGUUCGGCUGUUCGCCGAUUAAAGUGGUACGCGAGCUGGGUUCAGAACGUCGUGAGACAGUUCGGUCCCUAUCUGCCGUGGGCGUUCGAGAUUUGAGAGGAGUUCACCUUAGUACGAGAGGACCGGGUGGAACGUAUCUCUGGUGUUCCAGUUGUCACGCCAGUGGCAUCGCUGGGUAGCUAUAUACGGACGGGAUAACCGCUGAAAGCAUCUAAGCGGGAAGCCCACCUCAAGAUGAGAUCUCGCGGGACUUGAGUCCCCUAAAGAGCCCUUGUAGACCACAAGGUUGAUAGGCACGGUGUGGAAGCGCAGUAAUGUGUGAAGCUAACGUGUACUAAUUGCUCGUGCGGCUUGAUCAUAUAACGCUCAAGCAUUU